GGGUUCCCCGGGGAUCUCGGCCCACCGGGACACAACGGCCCCGAGGGACCCAAGGUUAGCGUGACCUUUGACCUGUUAUCACCCAAUCACAGAGCAAUGCUUAGCGCUCGCCACCUGAGCUGCAGAGGCAGACGUCAUGUUGUGCUCUAUCUCUCCCCAGGGUAGGGCCGGGCUCCGAGGGUUUCCUGGACCCAGCGGGAUCCCUGGACCGGAGGUGAGCUGCUCAGUGGGUCGGACUCUGCGUUAUUAAGGGGCAUCCGAUGCUUUUCGUUCCUUAUUAGGGUUGGGAAUCACAGAGUACCUCUCGAUACGAUACAAUACACGAUACAUGGCCCGCAAUAUAACAUAGCGAUACAGAGAUUCUGCAAUUAUCAAUGUAUUGUUAGUCAAUCCUAUGAUGAUACAUCAUGAUUUAUUUCUAACGAAGAGAUGAUUAAAUACAUCUUAAAUAACAAACACAAAGAUCUUCGUUAGAGAGAGGGAGAUGCAUUUGGAAACCAUUCGGUUCUUCUGAAGCCCUGUGCUGCAGACAACACAAAGAGCAUGAACUUUCCGUUCGCUUCUCCUCCAUGUCUGCUUUUUCUAACCUUGUGACUCUUUCGUCUCGUUGCCAGGGUGACGAAGGCCCACCUGGGCCGGCUGGACCAUCUGGCCCAGAGGGCAGAGCUGGGAGGCCGGGAUUCGGAGGCAGCGCCGGCCCAGACGGUCUCAAGGUCAGGGCCUCGUUAGCAUGCGCCGCGGUGGCGUCAAUGUCACCUCAGUGCGGAACACGGUCUUUUAGGAUAAUGCAUUAAGUGAAUGUGUGUAAAUGAGAUGUUAAUUCCCCCCGUUGCGCCCAGGGGGAACGGGGCUCUGAGCACAUUUCCACUCAUUUGAACUUAAGCAGGAAGGCGUGAAUACGUUGGCGAUAUGCUAAUGAGGUCCUCCCACACAGGGGGAGACGGGCUUAAGUGGCGAGGUCGGAGCGCACGGAGAGAAGGGGCCACCUGGGUUCCUGGGGCCUGUGGGGGAGCCAGGCAUCGCUGGAGAAAAGGGCGAGCGAGGGGAGGUGGGAGAUCCCGGACCGCAGGGGGUGAAGGGAGCGACGGGUCAUCCUGGCUCCCCUGGACAGAGCGGAUCCCCCGGAGAGCAAGGCUUCCCAGGCCGUCCUGGUUCUCAGGGAUCCAUUGGUGUCCGAGGACCCAAAGGACUCAGGGGCCCUGUGGGUCCAUACGGGCUCCUGGGAGGGAAAGGUUCUGCUGGAGUCAUGGGCCUGGAUGGUCCACCCGGAAAACCUGGGUUCCCUGGACAGAUGGUGAGAAUAGUCUCCUCAUCACUCUAUCCAUCAGUAGCCUAUUUUAA
rnacentral:lncRNA from 1 species